GUGCUAUCUUCAGCAGCACUUAUACUAAAAUUGAAACAAUACAGGGAAGAUCAGCAUCACCCUCACACAAGGAUGGCAUGAAAUCCAGGAAGCAGUCCAUAUUUUA